rnacentral:misc_RNA from 1 species
UUGAAUAAACUUGGUUGGGUUGCUGCUGGCUCUUAGGAGCAUGUGCACACUCACUCCRUUUUAACCACCUGUGCACAUACUGUAGGCCUGAAUGAAACUGUUCGAGGAAACUCGGUUUGAGGACUGUUGUGAAAAUCAGCUGUUCUUGCAUUCCAGGUCUAUGUUUUUAACAUAUACUCCAUAACAAGUUAUAGAAUGUUAAUCAUGGGCCUUCUGUGCCUUUAAAUUAUAAUACAACUUUCAACAACGGAUCUCUUGGCUCUCGCAUCGAUGAAGAACGCA